AUACAGAGGGUGCAAGCGUUAUUCGGAAUUACUGGGCGUAAAGCGCGCGUAGGCGGAUGAUUAAGUCAGUUGUGAAAGCCCUGGGCUCAACCUAGGAACUGCAUCUGAUACUGGUCGUCUCGAGUUUAAGAGAGGGAAGUGGAAUUCCAGGUGUAGCAGUGAAAUGCGUAGAUAUCUGGAGGAACAUCAGUGGCGAAGGCGACUUCCUGGCUUAAAACUGACGCUGAGGUGCGUAAGCGUGGGUAGCGAACGGGAUUAGAAACCCCAGUAGUCC
rnacentral:rRNA from 1 species